AUUGAACGCUGGCGGCAUGCCUUACACAUGCAAGUCGAACGGCAGCACGGGAGCAAUCCUGGUGGCGAGUGGCGAACGGGUGAGUAAUAUAUCGGAACGUGCCCGGUCGUGGGGAUAACGUAGCGAAAGCUACGCUAAUACCGCAUACGAUCUACGGAUGAAAGCGGGGGAUCGCAAGACCUCGCGCGAUUGGAGCGGCCGAUAUCAGAUUAGGUAGUUGGUGAGGUAAAGGCUCACCAAGCCGACGAUCUGUAGCUGGUCUGAGAGGACGACCAGCCACACUGGGACUGAGACACGGCCCAGACUCCUACGGGAGGCAGCAGUGGGGAAUUUUGGACAAAUGGGCGCAAGCCUGAUCCAGCAAUGCCGCGUGCAGGAUGAAGGCCUCGGUUGUAAACUGCUUUUGUACGGUAACGAAACGGUAGAGCUCUAAUACAGUUUGCUAAUGACGGUACCGUAAGAA
rnacentral:rRNA from 1 species